GAUGAAGAACGUAGCGAAAUGCGAAAAGUAAUGUGAAUUGCAGAAUUCAGUGAACCAUCGAAUCUUUGAACGCACAUUGCGCCCGCUGGAACUCCGGCGGGCACGCCUGUCCGAGCGUCAUUUCAACCCUCAGGCCCCCCUUCGCGGGCGGGCCUGGUGUUGGGGCCCGGCCGCUACCCUGCGGCCGUCCCCUAAAUUCAGUGGCGGCCUCGCCGUGAUCCCUUGUGUAGUAAUGCACCUCGCACCGGAGAGCGCCGUGGCCACGCCGUAAAACCCCCAAUUUUCAAUGGUUGACCUCGGAUCAGGUGGGAAUACCCGCUGAACUUAAGCAUAUCAAUAAGCGGAGGA
rnacentral:misc_RNA from 1 species